UCAACGCGGGAAAUCUUACCGGGUCCGGACACACUGAGGAUUGACAGGCAAUAUUAUUUAGAUAGUUUUGGAAGUUUCGGCUUUUGAAAUUAUUUUUAUAUGUAAAUAUGCUAGUCCUUUCAUGAUUAUGUGAUAGGUGGUGCAUGGCCGUUCUUAGUUCGUGGAGUGAUCUGUCUGCUUAAUUGCGUUUCACUAAGAGCUUANNNAAUUAUGUAUAUUUGCUUGUAUUUUUGACCCCCAAUUUGUUUUUUUUCUUGAGUUGUUUUUUCCGUUUCGAUGGUUUAGACGAUUCGAAUUAAAAUAGAUUGUGCGUGUUGUCAUUUAUACGCUAAGCAAUAUACAAUUAAGCUCUGAAAGCAACGAACGUGACCGCAUCCUCUUGUUGCCUCUAAUUUUUUAUCAUUGUAUUUAACCUCGGUUUUAUACUUUGUUAAGUUAAAGAGGCUUUAAAACUAGAGGGACCGCUGUAACUUUUUUAAACCAGAGGAAGGUUGCGGCAAUAACAGGUCUGUGA
rnacentral:rRNA from 1 species